UACGUAGGGCGCAAGCGUUGUCCGGAAUUAUUGGGCGUAAAGAGCUCGUAGGCGGUCUGUUGCGUCCGCUGUGAAAACUCGGGGCUUAACCCCGAGCCUGCAGUGGAUACGGGCAGACUAGAGGUAGGUAGGGGAGAAUGGAAUUCCCGGUGUAGCGGUGAAAUGCGCAGAUAUCGGGAGGAACACCGGUGGCGAAGGCGGUUCUCUGGGACGGUACUGACGCUGAGACGCGAAAGCGUGGGGAGCGAACAGG
rnacentral:rRNA from 1 species